AUUGAACGCUGGCGGCAGGCCUAAUACAUGCAAGUCGAACGAGUGGCGGACGGGUGAAUAAUGUCUGGAAAACUGCCUGCUGGAGGGGGAUAACUACUGGAAACGUUAGCUAAUAACGCUUACCAUCAUUUGUGCCCAGAUGGGAUUAGCUUGUGGGUGGGGUAACGGCUCAUCAAGGCGACGAUCCCUCGCUGGUCUGAGAGUGUGACCGGCCACACUGGAACUGAGACACGGUCCAGACUCCUACGGGAGGCAGCAGUGGGGAAUAUUGCACAAUGGGCGAAAGCCUGAUGCAGCCAUGCCGCGUGUAUGAAGAAGGCCUUCGGGUUGUAAAGUACUUGCAGCGGGGAGGCGUUACCCACAGAAGAAGCACCGGCUAACUCCGUGCCAGCAGCCGCGGUAAUAC
rnacentral:rRNA from 1 species